UGGAACUCCAAGAGUGUCAAAAGGAGAGAUCGUUAAGGAUGCCGGUGGUGUUGGAGUAGUUGUAGCAAACGUAUUCCCCAUGGGAGAAGGCCUAGUUGCAGAUGCACACUUGAUCCCUGGUCUAGGGGUGACUGAGUCAUCCGGUAACCUCAUUCGUGAUUACAUUAACUCCAACGCCAAUCCAACAGCCACUAUGACUUUCUACGAAACUCAAGUUGGGAUAAAACCAGCACCUGUAGUUGCAUCUUUCUCUUCAAGAGGACCUAGCGCGGAGUCUACUUUUGUUCUCAAGCCGGA
rnacentral:misc_RNA from 1 species